CAGUAAGCUGGAGCAUGUCACAAUAAACAUUAGCUUCCAAACUGCAUGCGGAAAACUCCAGAUUGUGUUGGCAUCACCAGAUGGCACAGAAUCAGUAUUAGUAGAUUUACCCAAUGUUUCAGAAAAUAGCCGUUAUACGAUUCAUCUGAUGUCUGUACAGUUUUGGGAUGAGGUGGCUUUUGGGACAUAUAUGUUGAAAAUAAUUGGUGGAUCAAAUAAAUGUGGUCGGACAAAAGUUUUGUCGGUUUCAUUAAUUCUGUAUGGAACAAACGAUCACAAAGCCAAAGAAAGACAAUGUCGUGUUGCCAAAAAACAUGCGAGUAAUGACAAACGAGUCCACAGUGAUACAGAAUAUGCAUUAAUGUUUUUAGGAGGAGGAGCAGUUGUUCUUACAGCUUUAAUGGUUUAUGCAUAUAGGAUUAAUGCUUCACGAAUUUUCAUAAUCAAAUACUGGACAAGACUGCAACGUUUUGCAUGCAAGCGUCUACCUCCAUCAGACAAAUACGAACUACAUCCAUUUCGAAAUAACAUUGGAUGCUCCGACCUAGUGGGAACACGCUUGAUAGACAGUCCAGAGGUCCGGGGUUCUAAUCCCGGUCCAAGCGCUUAACGUUUACUGAGCACGUUAAAGAACCAGGCUGCCUUUUUACAAAAAGCAAAGCUAAGUAAGCUGGACAUGCUGUAUCUAAAAUUUCUCUCUCACUAUCGUUUGGAAGAUGUGUCCCUCUGUGUAGCUCGUUAUGCACUGGUAGAGGAUGAGUUGGCACCCUUGAGUGGUCACCGUUGUAUAUGUUCAUGUAGAUCUGACUGUAAAGUAAUUUUGAACGUGUUUAUAGUGAAAAUGGUGACAUGUAAAUAUUUAGUAUAUACACUUACUCCUUUUCUCUUCUUUCAAUUUCUAUUUUCAAAACAUUAGAUUCUUACGCCGCCAUUUUUACAUAGCAUGCGAUAGGAACAUGCCGAUUUCGAUAGAAUGCUAAGUGAUACAUACUGAAACGCGUUGAAGUAAAAGAAAACACGAUGCUUCUGAGAAAGGGCGCGAGGAAAGGGAGAAAGAUUAGCACUGUUUAUAUAUGGACUAAUUGUGACUAGACCUGCGGAGGCUUACAUUUGAUUUGGUAGUUAUCUGCCUUCAGAGCAUACAUCCGUCCAUACAACAUUCUACAUGGAAAGAGGAGUAUAUGUAAAUAUAUACACAUACACAGCGGCUGAGCACAUGUAUUAAUUAACACAGACGAAAAGUAUCCAUUUAGAUAUAAAUAGUGUCUGUUUGAUUAAAUAGUGUCUGUUUGAUUCUAAACCCAACGAAACAAAAAGAAAAAUAAGAAAGAAAACAAAAAUCCAAAACAAUAACAAACGAAUGCAAUAAUAAUAAUAACAACAAGACAGAAGGAACAAACAGAUAAAACAUACAUGAAGAAUAAAUGCAAUAGGUCACUGUCUAGGAACGGUCAGUGACAAAACAACCAGCGGAUAGUUUACCGGCUUUAUUCCUCAUCAUGUUCAUAUAUUGUUUUCAGGUACAUCAUCAUUAUCACCAUCAACAAUUGCACAAUCAAUUACAGUAGGAAUAUUCUGCUGAAUGUCAAAAGAAAAACAGAUACAAGAGUGUACAUCAGAAAAUACUGGAUCAAAUUCAUGUACUUCGAAUUCUUUAACACGUGGAAAAUUACAAGCAGACAUUAUUACAUAAUCUACAAGACUUGCAUUUCUACAAGUACUUCGGCCAAUGUAUCUAUCCUUACCGCAUCGGCCAUUUGCUAUAAACAGUCCAAUGCUAUGGCACAACUGAAUGAGGCGCCGCCCAUAGUUGUUUAUAAAUGUAUUAUCUUCUGACCAACGUUCAAGAGGAAAGCCAAGAUCGGACAAAAUAUUUGUGGAUAAGUUGUCACUUGUAGUGUCAUCUAAUAAGAAGUCAGAAAUAUACUGGUCGAUAUUAACAAGUCAGACAACAAACCACUUCUGCCGUUAAAGUCGCCAGCUAAUACAAACGAGGCAUUAUCAUCGCUUGUUUUGAUGUUUAA